CUCUUUAUUUUCCACCCACGACACUUUCCCUGCAACUUUAAUUCAUUCACACUCACAUACUCCCUUCUUUUGCAACUCAACUUUUAGGCUGUCUUGUCUCCCAACACUGCACUAUAACUUAAAGAAAUAUCCUUAGUAAAAACUCCUCCUAAGCAAAAACUAACUCCUCCUCAUCCUUGCUGGAACGAUUCUGAUCCUUUAAACACCAUAAGUAAUCAGCCAAGGCAGGUAGAACCAGCAAAACAGCCGAUCAACUCCUCAAGGCUUUGUGAUGACCAGGAGGAUUAGCGCUACUUUUCCAAGACAGGUUUAUAUGUGUAUGAUCUUCAGGCUUUGCCUAUCCAGGUGGGCUUACUUUCCAAAUGUACAAAGUAUGAUUGAGUUAUUAAGCUCUAAAUGUUUCAAUGAAAUGCAAAUUGUUUAUUUAAUGUAAUGAAAACUGUUUAUCCAAUAAAAUGUUUAUGUGCACUCUGCUCUGUUUAAGGCUCGCAAUUCAUGGAUCGAUCGAGGUUCUCUUAUGGCCUAACACGUUAUUUGAGAAUUGUGUACACUUGUUAGUUGUUUCGGUGGGUUGAUCUCCAUCGGGCACUAAUUCAUGUAAGAGGCGUUAUAAGGGUGCUUGGCUGGAUGUGUUCCGAAGCAUGUAUCAUGUAAGGCCUGCCUGGGUAGCGUCCCGAGGUCAAUUCAACUAGUCUGAGUUACGUCCUCAGGGCAAGUGUCAUGGGAGAAAUGGAUCCGUCGGUGGCUAAAAGGUCCGGGAUCACAGCGAGUAACAGAAAGGGAGUGUGACAUGUGCGCACAAAUGAAAAAUGUUUUAACAUGCUUAGAAGUUCUUUCAAUUUAAAACCUUCUAAGUCAUGUCAAGUAUGAUUGGAUAAACUGUCUUUAUUAAAAUAUGAAAUGUUUCAGAAAAAUGCAUGCCCACUAAGUACAUUAGUACUUAGCCCAAAAAUACUUUCAAAUGUUUUCAGGUUGGCUGGCCGGUGCUGACGGGACGGAGCUGAGGCUAGAGUUAAAUUCCUAUGUUAGACUUCCGCUGUAGCAAUUACUCAUAUCAGUCUUUUGUUUUCUCAACUUAAGAUCUUCAUGUUAAAUUUCAAAUGAUAUACCUGACCGAGCUUAGACUCUUCACUACUAAAUUUAUGCUAAUAAAUGUCGGUUGUCAGAAGCAUGAAACAAAACUUGUGAUCCAAAGGGGCAUAGCCCGACUCUCUAUCUUAUUAUUCGGGUUUUAACAAGGUUGUUCCUUGUUUAUUUCUAUGAAUUAGUUGCACCUCGAUUAUAUUUA